GCACUGAAAAAAAGUGACUUAUGACCAUUAUAACAUCCCUGGGGUCAGAUGUUCAAAAUUUGGUUGCUGGGCAUCUGGCAAGCAUU